rnacentral:rRNA from 1 species
AGUGAACGCUGGCGGUAGGCCUAACACAUGCAGGUCGAACGGCAGCACAGUAAGAGCUUGCUCUUACGGGUGGCGAGUGGCGGACGGGUGAGGAAUACAUCGGAAUCUACUUUUUCGUGGGGGAUAACGUAGGGAAACUUACGCUAAUACCGCAUACGACCUACGGGUGAAAGCAGGGGAUCUUCGGACCCUGCGCGAUUGAAUGAGCCGAUGUCGGAUUAGCUAGUUGGCGGGGUAAAGGCCCACCAAGGCGACGAUCCGUAGCUGGUCUGAGAGGAUGAUCAGCCACACUGGAACUGAGACACGGUCCAGACUCCUACGGGAGGCAGCAGUGGGGAAUAUUGGACAAUGGGCGCAAGCCUGAUCCAGCCAUACCGCGUGGGUGAAGAAGGCCUUCGGGUUGUAAAGCCCUUUUGUUGGGAAAGAAAAGCAGCAGGUUAAUACCCCGCUGUUCUGACGGUACCCAAAGAAUAAGCACCGGCUAACUUCGUG